AUAUAUAUUAUAAAAAAAUUUGAUAAAAUAAUAAAUAAAAAAUAUUAAAAAUAUACAUUAUAUUUUAAGUUAAAAAAAAUCAUCUAGAUCCCUAUGUGUUCCAUCUUUCUUUGUUCCUUUUUCAUAUGCAGUUUCAUAAUCCCUGAGAUAAGUAGUUCUGGCCCUAAAGUGUUAUAUAUAUAAGCGUCUGUAGCAUGUAUUAGGAACAUGUUAUCAUAUCUGUGUCUUUUUUUACUGGUGACUGAUGCCCCGUGAGGUGACUGUGACAUAUACCUUCGUCAGCUGCAAAAAAGGAACCGCGAGACAGUUACCAGAUGUCUGCCCCAACCGGGAGGAGCUGCUAUUGGAAAGUUAAGUAUCUAUAUUUAUCACUUCUGCCAUGUCAUUGUUGUAUAACACUCUAUCUUUAUACUUCAUCCAGAAGGUGUUCAUUAUAUACCUUGUCUGUUUUUGUGAUAACCGUUAUGGUCAGCCCCAUCUCUAGUACCGGCAGGUUAGAUAGUGUCUAUCUAUGCAUGACUUGUUCCAUUGCUAACUUGGGGGAGUUAUCAAUGUGGCACCAUGUGUAGAUAGAAAUAACUGAGGGUUAACUAGUUAUUAUGUCUAUUAUUGUAACAUACUAUUCAGCAUCAGUAGAACAAUAGUCAGUGCCUACUAAAUACAACUAGGACUUUCCUAAUGCAUUCCUACCUUCAAGUAUGGCUGAUACCUCGACUGAGGAUUUGCAGCCACUAUCGUUGUUUUUUUACAUGCUGCUUUUUUAUCUUUUGUGUUGGUUCUGCUCUUCGUUGUUUUUCAAGUUGCUUCAUUUUCUAACAGCUUUUGUGUCUUUCUCACAAGUAUCUAGGUAGGUUUUUUUUUUAGAAUUAUUUUCCUGUAGAGCAAGAAUAUUUGAUGCUGCCUGCUAGCCCUGGACACUAAUACCCAAGAAAGAGUGAGACGACCAUCUGCCCAGACUGGAAGGAGCUACGAUGAGACGAAUUCUUUUCCUGUAGAGCAAGAAUAUUUGACACUGCCUGCUAGCCCUGGACACUAAUACCCAAGAAAGAGUGAGACGACCAUCUGCCCAGUCUAGAAGGAGCUACGAUGAGACGGUAAGGCCUAUGCCAUUGACUUGUUCUAAUAGCCUGUGUCUUUGUGCUUCAUCCAGAAGCUGUUCUAUUGUGUAAGACAACCCACACCUGGGAGGAGCUGCUGUCAGACCAAUAAGUUACUAACUUUGAGCUAUGUCAUAUUCUUGUUCUAGAAGUAUCUAUCAGUUUGCUUUCUCCAGGUGUUACUUAUCUUCCCUGGCUGGAAUUGUGGACCUACACGUAAGUAAAUUAAAUAAAAUCAUGUCUCUUCUUGUCAAAAUGUGUUCAAUUUAGGGGGUAAUUUGUAUAAUGAUUUUCUGUCUCUUGCCUUUGCCAGUCGCCGCCUACCGUGGCAGUCAUUGCCAAAUUUGGCAAUUUACCAUAUAAUUCUAUGGUGAAUGUCAGCCCCAUCUCUAGUACUAGCAGGUUAGAUAGUAGCUACCUAUGCAUGACUUGUUGCAUUGCUAACUUGGGGGGGUUAUCAAUGUGGCACCAUGUGUAGAUAGCCUUAGUAACUAGUUAAUAGUCAGUGCCUACUAAAUGAAGGUAGGAAUGAAUUAGGAAAGUCCUAGCUGUAAGUAUGGCUGAUACCACUAUUAUUGUUUUUUUACGUGCUGCUUUUUUAUUUUUAUUUUUUUGUUCGACUCUUCAUUGUUGCUUCAUUUUCUAACAGCUUUUGUCUUUCUCACAAGUAUCUAGGUUUUUUUUUUUUUUUGGUUGGUAUUUUUAAUUCUAUUCCUGUAGAGCCACAAUAUUGGAUGCUGCCUUCUAGCCCUGGACACUGGUACCCAAGAAAGAGUGAGACGCCCAUCUGCCCAGACUGGAAGGAGCUACGAUGAGACGGUAAGGCCUAUGCCAUUGACUUGAUCUAAUAGCCUGUGUCUUUGUGCUUCAUCCAGAAGCUGUUCUAUUGUGUAAGACAACACACACCUGGGAGGAGCUGCUGUCAGACCAAUAAGUAACUAACUUUGACCUAUGUUAUAUUCUUGUUCUAGAAGUAUCUAUCAGUUUGCUUUCUCCAGGUAUUCCUUAUCUUCCCUGGCUGGAAUUGUGGACCUACACGUAAGUAAAUAAAAGCAUGUCUGUUCUUGUCAAAAUGUGUUAUAUUUAGGGGGUAAUUUGUUUUCUGUCUCUUGCCUUUGCCAGUUGCCGCCUACCAUGGCAGUCUUUGCCAAAUUUGGCAAUUUACCAUAUAAUUCUAUGGUGAAUGUCAGCGCCAUUCCUUUUACCGGCAGGUUAGAUAGUAGCUACCUAUGCAUGACUUGUUGCAUUGCUAACUUGGGGGAGUUAUCAAUGUGGCACCAUGUGUAGAUAGCCAUAAUAACUAGUUAACCCUAAAUAAUCCAGUUAUUUCUGUUAUUGUAACAUACUAUUCAGCAUCAGUAGAACAAUAGUCAGUGCCUACUAAAUGAAGGUAGGAAUGAAUUAGGAAAGUCCUAGCUGUAAGUAUGGCUGAUACCUCGACUGAGGAUCUGCAGCCACUAUCAUUGUUUUUAACAUGCUGCUUUUUUAUCUUUUGUGUCCGGCUCUUUGUUGCUCUAUUUUCUAACAGCUUUUGUCUCUCACAAGUAUCUAGGUGUGUUUAGAAUUAUUUUUCCUGUAGAGCAAGAAUAUUUGAUGCUGCCUGCUAGCCCUGGACACUGAUACCCAAGAAAGAGUGAGACGACCAUCUGCCCAGACUGGAAGGAGCUGAGUUAAAACGGUAAGGUCUUUCCUAUAUGGUUAAUGCCAUAGGCUUGUUCUAAUAGCCUGUGUCUUUGUACUUAAUUCACUCAUUUAUCCAAAUCCAUUUUGCACUGUGCUAUAUAGCAUUAAAGGAGCCCUGUAGUGUCACACUUAUCCCCUAUCCACAGGAUAGGGCAUAAGUGUCUGUGGAGGGCUCAGACCGCUGGGACCCCCACAUGAUGUUCCGUACGGGGACCCGGCAUUGCUUUGGCUCUGCGCGGCUAAUGCACAUGUCUCUGACCUCACUGAUGUAGACAUGCCCCUUCCAUACUUCAUCUCUGCCUCUCCCAUAGAGAUACAUUUAGGGGGCGUGUACGCAGUGGCAGGCAGGCCCCCUGCACGAGAGGGCCGCUGCAGAGCCGGGCCCCCACACAGGAGAUUGCAGGUGUUCCAGUGUUCAUACCCCCGCGAUCAGACACUUAUCCCCUAUACUGUGGAUGGAUAGGGGAUAAGUGUCUAACACUGCAGAUCUCCUUUAAGGAGUCAGACAUUUUUUUAUUUUUAUUAAAAUUGAAAAUUUGCUUCAUUUUCUAACAGCUUUUAUGUCUUUCUCACAAGUAUCUAGGUAGGUUUUUUUUUUAGAAUUGUUUUCCUGUAGAGCAAGAAUAUUGGAUGCUGCCUGCUAGCCCUGGACACUAAUACCCAAGAAACAGUGAGACGACCAUCUGCCCAGACUGGAAGGAGCUACGAUGAGACGGUAAGGCCUAUGCCAUUGACUUGAUCUAAUAGCCUGUGUCUUUGUGCUUCAUCCAGAAGCUGUUCUAUUGUGUAAGACAACACACACCUGGGAGGAGCUGCUGUCAGACCAAUAAGUUACUAACUUUGACCUAUGUCAUAUUCGUGUUCUAGAAGUAUCUAUCAGUUUGCUUUCUCCAGGUAUUCCUUAUCUUCCCUGGCUGGAAUUGUGGACCUACACGUAAGUAAAUGAAAUCAUGUCUGUUCUUGUCAAAAUAUGUUAUAUUUAGGGGGCAAUUUGUUUAAUUACAUAAUUAAAUGACUUUCUGUUGCCAGUGACCGCCUACCCUGGCAGUCUGGCAAUUUACCAUAUAAUUCUAUGGUGAAUGUCAGCCCCAUUCCUAGUACCGGCAGGUUAGAUAGUAGCUACCUAUGCAUGACUUGUUCCAUUGCUAACUUGGGGGAGUUAUCAAUGUGGCACCAUGUGUAGAUAGCCAUAAUAACUAGUUAACCCUCAGUUAUUUCUGUUAUUGUAAUAUACUAUUCAGCAUUAGUAGAACAAUAGUCAGUGCCUACUAAAUGAAGGUAGGAAUGCAUUAGGAAAGUCCUAGCUGUAAGUAUGGCUGAUACCUCGACUGAGUAUUUGCAGCCACUAUCAUUGUUGUUUUUAACAUGCUACUUUUUUAUUUGUUUGGCUCUUCAUUGUUGCUUCAUAUUUUCUAACAGCUUUUGUCUUUCUCACAAGUAUCUAGGUUUUUGUUUUUGUUUUUUUUAAUUCUAUUCCUGUAGAGCCACAAUAUUUGAUUCUGCCUGCUAGCCCUGGACACUGAUACCCAAGAGAGUGAGACGCCCAUCUGCGCAGACUGGAAGGAGCUAUGAUGAGACGGUAAGGCCUAUGCCAUUGACUUGUUCGAAUAGCCUGUGUCUUUGUGCUUCAUCCAGAAGCUGUUCUAUUGUGUAAGACAAUCCACACCUGGGAGGAGCUGCUGUCAGACCAAUAAGUUACUAACUUUGACCUAUGUCAUAUUCUUGUUCUAGAAGUAUCUAUCAGUUUGCUUUCUCCAGGUGUUACUCAUCUUCCCUGGCUGGAAUUGUGGACCUACACGUAAGUUAAUAAAAGCAUGUCUGUUCUUGUCAAAAUGUGUUAUAUUUAGGGGACAAUUUAUUAAAUUACAUAAUUAAAUGACUUUGUCUCUUGCCAGUCACCGCCUACCUUGGCAGUCUGGCAAUUUACCAUAUAAUUCUAUGGUGAAUGUCAGCCCCAUCUCUAGUACUAGCAGGUUAGAUAGUAGCUACCUAUGCAUGACUUGUUGCAUUGCUAACUUGGGGGGGUUAUCAAUGUGGCACCAUGUGUAGAUAGCCAUAAUAACUAGUUAACCCUCAGUUAUUUCUAUUAUUGUCAUACUAUUCAGCAUUAGUAGAACAAUAGUCAGUGCCUACUAAAUGAAGGUAGGAAUGCAUUAGGAAAGUCCUAGCUGUAAGUAUGGCUGAUACCUUGACUGAGAAUUUGCAGCCGCUAUCAUUGUUGUUUUUAACAUGCUGCUUUUUUAUCUUUUGUGUUUGUUCGGCUCUUCAUUAUUGCUUCAUUUUCUAACAGCUUUUGUCUUUCUCACAAGUAGCUAGGUAGUUUUUUGUUUUUUUUUAGAAUUCUUUUCCUGUAGAGCCACAAUAUUUGAUGCUGCCUGCUAACCCUGGACACUGAUACCCAAGAAAGAGUGAGACGACCAUCUGCCCAGACUGGAAGGAGCUACGAUGAGACGUUUUCUUUCUCCAGGUAUUCCUUAUCUUCCCUCUUUGGAAUUGUGGACCUAUGCAUUUGGCAAGUUCAUUCUACUACAUGGUGUAGCAGACCAUGGCAAGAACCUUUAAACUUACUACCUUACCAGUCAUUGAAUCUACAUAAGACAAGAUAUGACAUCUAGCAAAAAUAGUAUGGUAUGAGAAGUUUAUUCUACUACCCGGUAUAGAAGACCAUAUAAAGAACAUUUAACAACUUCCUACCUUACCAUACUCCGCUCCAGACAUGCUAUUAGCAGAAGUCUUGACAUCUUGCCAAAAUCAUAUGAUCCUCACUUCUGCACUUUGUUCUGUGAAGUAAUCAACAGUUUCCACUAUGAAAAUCUCCAGCAACAUGAAAACCUGCCCGGGCUCCAUUGUCAGAGUUCCAAAAGUUUAAACAUUUAGCCUUUUUUUUUUUUUUUUUUGUCUUCUACAAAAAAAUUUUUUUAACUUAUUUCUUGCUAUUCUGUAAAUAAAA